CCCCUAAAAAGUAUUUUUUUUAAAUAUAACAAAGCAGGUCACCUUUAACCUACGGAAGUUGUUAGCGGUCACCAGUCUGCGAUUGCAGUUUGCGAUCACAGCUGCUGCCUUGUCUUUUUUAUUUUUAUUACUCUCAUUCAAAGUUUCUUUCAUCUGCAAUUCACCGAUGGCGCUGGCAGAGAAUGGGAAAUUGAAGUGCCAGGUUCCCAUUCACAAUACACGUGAGCUACGAUAGUGACGUUGUUGCACUGACGACGCAGUCUAAGCGCGUCCCAUGCCUCAGGUCUCGACCAAGUGAAAUGCAGCUGCGAGCGAAGAUGUCGUCUGAACUCAACUGAGACGCCUCCAAUCAAGCAAGUUGCUGCCCGGAGGCUUGCUAGGGUUAACAAAACAUACCGACACUGAUGAGAUCACACGUCAUUCCCACAAACCCUUUGCCAGACAUUUAUCAAAUGCCGAGACACUCGCAGCUCACCCACGCAGACGCUGCUGUUGGCCACACCCCACACCCAGACCCCCACACGCAGACUGACUCAGGCGCAGAAUUGGUGACAUCACAGCCCACCUCAUUCCACAGGUCACGCCUUUGAGAGACAUGUAUACAGGUAGGUAUCAUGAUUGCGGUCCGUUCCUUGUUGGCGACAGCCAAUCGAUGUCGAGAACGCAGAUAUGAUGUCACACACAGGCGCCGCACGAGCAGACACGCAGCCAGCAAAACAACAGACACACCCACAGACACUGUAUGGUAAUUGAUGAAAUGGAAUUAAUAUGGGACAAUGUCAUUGCCGUCUGCGGGACUGAAAGCUAUGCAUUGUUUU